GUGGGGAAUAUUGGGCAAUGGGCGAAAGCCUGACCCAGCAACGCCGCGUGAAGGAAGAAGGUUUUCGGAUCGUAAACUUCUAUCCUUGGUGAAGAUAAUGACGGUAGCCAAGAAGGAAGCCCCGGCUAACUACGUGCCAGCAGCCGCGGUAAUACGUAGGGGGCAAGCGUUGUCCGGAAUGAUUGGGCGUAAAGGGCGCGUAGGCGGCCCGGUAAGUCUGAAGUGAAAGUCCUGCUUUUAAGGUGGGAAUUGCUUUGGAUACUGUCGGGCUUGAGUGCAGGAGGGGUAAGCGGAAUUACCGGUGUAGCGGUGAAAUGCGUAGAGAUCGGGAGGAACACCAGUGGCGAAGGCGGCUUACUGGACUGUAACUGACGCUGAGGCGCGAAAGUGUGGGGAGCAAACAGGAUUAGAAACCCGGGUAGUCC
rnacentral:rRNA from 1 species